CCUACGGGAGGCAGCAGUAGGGAAUCUUGCGCAAUGGGCGAAAGCCUGACGCAGCCAUGCCGCGUGAAUGAUGAAGGUCUUAGGAUUGUAAAAUUCUUUCACCGGGGACGAUAAUGACGGUACCCGGAGAAGAAGCCCCGGCUAACUUCGUGCCAGCAGCCGCGGUAAUACGAAGGGGGCUAGCGUUGCUCGGAAUUACUGGGCGUAAAGGGAGCGUAGGCGGAUAGUUUAGUCAGAGGUGAAAGCCCAGGGCUCAACCUUGGAAUUGCCUUUGAUACUGGCUAUCUUGAGUAUGGAAGAGGUAUGUGGAACUCCGAGUGUAGAGGUGAAAUUCGUAGAUAUUCGGAAGAACACCAGUGGCGAAGGCGACAUACUGGUCCAUUACUGACGCUGAGGCUCGAAAGCGUGGGGAGCAAACAGGAUUAGAUACCCUGGUAGUCCACGCCGUAAACGAUGAGUGCUAGUUGUCGGCAUGCAUGCAUGUCGGUGACGCAGCUAACGCAUUAAGCACUCCGCCUGGGGAGUACGGUCGCAAGAUUAAAACUUAAAUGAAUUGACGGCUGAGACGNGCGAGACGACACGAGGAGAGG
rnacentral:rRNA from 1 species